GUCGAGCGAUGAAACUUUAACAGAACCCUUCGGGGCGAAGAUAAAGUGGAUUAGCGGCGGACGGGUGAGUAACACGUGAGUAACCUGCCUUAGACAUUGGGAUAGCCUCGGGAAACCGGGAUUAAUACCAAAUAAAAUCAUAAUGACACAUGUCAUAACGAUCAAAACUCCGGUGGUCUAAGAUGGACUCGCGUCCCAUUAGCUAGUUGGUAGAGUAAAAGCCUACCAAGGCGACGAUGGGUAGCCGGCCUGAGAGGGUGAACGGCCACAUUGGAACUGAGAAACGGUCCAAACUCCUACGGGAGGCAGCAGUGGGGAAUAUUGCACAAUUGAGGGAACUCUGAUGCAGCGACGCCGUGUGAACGAAGAAGGCUUUCGAGUCGUAAAGUUCUUUUAUAUGGGAAGAUAAUGACGGUACCAUAAGAAAAAGCCCCGGCUAACUACGUGCCAGCAGCCGCGGUAAUACGUAGGGGGCUAGCGUUGUCCGGAAUCACUGGGCGUAAAGGGUUCGCAGGCGGAAAUGCAAGUCAGAUGUAAAAGGCAGUAGCUUAACUACUGUAAGCAUUUGAAACUGCAUAUCUUGAGAAGAGUAGAGGUAAGUGGAAUUUUUAGUGUAGCGGUGAAAUGCGUAGAUAUUAAAAAGAAUACCGGUGGCGAAGGCGACUUACUGGGCUCAUUCUGACGCUGAGGAACGAAAGCGUGGGUAGCAAACAGGAUUA
rnacentral:rRNA from 2 species